AGAGUUUGAUCCUGGCUCAGAACGAACGCUGGCGGCGUGGAUAAGACAUGCAAGUCGAACGAGAUUUUUUCCUGUAGCAAUACAGGGAAAAGUCUAGUGGCGAACGGGUGCGUAACACGUGGGCAAUCUGCCUUAAAGUGGGGGAUAGCUCGGCGAAAGCCGAAUUAAUACCGCAUGUGAUCAGGGGAGACAUCUUCCCGAAAUCAAAAGUGGCGCAAGCUACUGCUUUUUGAGGAGCCCGCGGCCUAUCAGCUAGUUGGCGAGGUAACGGCUCACCAAGGCUUUGACGGGUAGCUGGUCUGAGAGGACGACCAGUCACACUGGAACUGAGACACGGUCCAGACACCUACGGGUGGCAGCAGUCGAGAAUUUUUCUCAAUGGGGGAAACCCUGAAGGAGCGACGCCGCGUGGAGGAUGAAGGUCUUCGGGUUGUAAACACCUGUCAUUUGGGAACAAGUGCCGGUACGUAACUGCUACCGGCUUGAUAGUACCAGAAGAGGAAGGGACGGCUAACUCUGUGCCAGCAGCCGCGGUAAUACAGAGGUCUCAAGCGUUGUUCGGAUUCAUUGGGCGUAAAGGGUGUGUAGGUGGCGCCGUAAGUCGGGUGUGAAAUUUCGGAGCUUAACUCCGAAACUGCAUUCGAUACUGCGGUGCUUGAGGACUGGAGAGGAGACUGGAAUUCAUGGUGUAGCAGUGAAAUGCGUAGAGAUCAUAAGGAAGACCAGUGGCGAAGGCGGGUCUCUGGACAGUUCCUGACACUGAGACACGAAGGCCAGGGGAGCAAACGGGAUUAGAUACCCCCGUAGUCC
rnacentral:rRNA from 1 species